AGUGGCUAAAGUAGUGAGCUCCGGUCCAUAAUUUAAUCGUCGCCGCAGCGAUUCGAACUUGGGACCUUGUGGUUAGAAUUGCUGCCCAGUACCACUAGGCUACCACCUUGAUGGCCACAUGAGAACCUGCUAGCCUAGCACUUUAUGUCCCUAUGGCCAAAUUGCUACACUUUGGUUGUGGAUGAUUGGAUCAUACUGGUGGUCUAUUUUUCGUUUAACCUAACUGUGAUUGUGCUAGGAAUUGUAACUUAUCAUAUCACUUGUGUCAUAAAGGUGUUCAAAAAUUCCCCUAGAUCGACGCUGCCUGUUUACUAAGUGACAUGAUCUAAGAUGUGUAACCCAUUUAAUAAACAAAACAGUAAUGUCGUGUUACUCGAACAGAUAAUCCUAUUAACCCCACUUACAAUGAAUAAACUUAAUCCAAGACAUUUGACUCGACACUGAUUUUGGUGAUAGGUUUAGCCUAUUAAUUUGUGGUAAAGCACUAAUUUCAUUACUUAUUUAUCUAUUGAUCAGUAUAUUAUCCGAUGAAUGCAACUUUAGCAAAUUGAGCUAUGACCUAGCUGUUUUAUCCAUCCUACUAUUAUAAUCACAAAAAAAAGAGAGAGAACACUUUAACACAUAAUUUCAUUCAUGCAUGGUUAAAUGUAGGGAUGCAGAUCGGGUGGGUUAAUUUGUGUCAUAGGUUGUCUUGGGCACCUUCCGUGCUACUAGACAUCAAAAUCAACAGUCAGCCAAACCCAUGCUUUCCGAAAAAUACUAUAUCCAAAUCCACUGCAACAUGCUAUGGUUGAGCCUGGACGAAAUGGAGAUGGCCCAAGCAUGGUUUGGACGCAAGCUAUCUACUUCGUCACCAAAGUGCAUAUUUAUAAUGGUAGAUUAUCUUGGUAGGAACUUGAAAGGAACCGAGAAUGCUGAAGCCAUGAGAUAGUUGGUGUACAAUUCUCGGAUGAGUGCCAAAAUAAUUAACAGAGAUCGAGCUUUCUAUGCUGAAAUUUACAAGGACUAGGACUCGUUUUGUGUUAACAAAUUACAACCAUUAUCUCAGACUCCCUUAAAUCACACUCCCUUAAAUCACAGCCGGAUAAGUGAUAAGUCCAACCAAUUAAUUUGAAACUGGAUUCAAGGAAUAAUUAACUUAUAUAAGUUCUUAAAUAUAAAGGUUAUACAAUAAUUAGUAGGUAAAAUUUGACAUAUUUAUAGGGAUUAAUAAAGUUUCAGGAUAUCCGAUUGUACCUCCAACUCAAUGUUGAAAUAUAUAAAACCUCUUUGUCACUAAAAUAACUACUGAUGGCUUCAAAGGAACCAUGGUAAUCUUCAUCUCAUACAAAUAUAGUAAUGGACAGGACACAAGAUGAAAAGGCCCAAUGAGAGCAAAAGCAAAACCAGACUGACCAUAGGUAGACGUUUUGUGGACAGGACAAGGGUUUGAAUAUAGUUUUUUUCCCCUACAACUGUGUCCUUGUAUAGUUGUAUAUCUGUUUAUCUUCUGUUUUGUACUAAUGAUAUUUGUGUUAUUAUUGGACUAAAUUCUUUUUUUCAAAAAGAAAAUUGCCUUUCAUGUAAGUAUGUGCCAUUGUGCCUCUUCAUGUCCAAGCAGCAAAGCAGCAGAAAUAUUUCUCUUUCCUUUCACAUCAAGCCAAAUAGCUGAAAAAUCAGAUAUCCUCUUUUCUUAAAAACUCAUUUUUUUAUUUUUUUCGUGUUCCCUAUUUUCUUUCUGCUACUUCCUUGCAGCUAACUCUGUGAUAUGAAAGAAAAAACACUUCAAUAAAGAAGAAGAAAGUGAAAGUCAUCAAUAUUGAGAAAUUUCUCUUAUUUAAUUGCGGUUAGAUAUUUAGAAUUACACAGGUAGAUUGGCUUGUGCAUUAAGGGAUUAGCUCGAUCCACUGGUCAUCCUCUUCAUUUCUUUGAAUAAAUGGAAAGUUUUAGGACCAUUUGAAAAAAUUACGGUUCUUUGUAUGGCUUUCUUUUUUUAAUUGAUUUUUGCGAAAAGAACUUGCCCAUAACUUUCAACUUUCUCUCCGCCUAAACAGAUUCUACCUUCACUUUAAAGAUAAAUUCUUUAUAAGAAUUCUAGCAAUUAAACAUAUUGGAGAGUUAAGCUGGAAGCUAUUAUGGUUCUUCUUUGCCCCCUUUACCAGUAACAUGUAUUCAUUCUAUUAAAAAUUUCCAGGGCUUGUAAUGUUUUAUGUUUUGGAUCUGCAUAAAAGGCUAUAACAUUGAAUCUUUUUUCACAUUUUAAUUGGGUUAACCAAUAAAAGAGUACAAUGUGGUAGAGGGAAAAAAUCUAUUUGGAAUGACUUGGUACCCUUGGAGUGCAAUAAGAGGGAGGCCAGAGUACAACUACAUCUCUGUUUUGAGAUUCCUAUAUUCAUCUCUGAAAAAUUUCUGAAAUAUUUUGUUAUUUCCAAAUCUAAUUUCAAAAUUUUCUAAUAUAUACAUUUUAUUAUCCAGCAGAUGAUCUCCAAUGAUGAAUAUAACAGUGUGGAACAUCGGGUGGUGGCCAAUUCUCAUCAAGAAGCAAGGGUUUCAAUUGGCGUCUUCUUCAACCCUGGGAAGAGGGGGGAAUCUGAUUUUUAUGGGCCCUUACAGGAGCUGGUGUCUCCAGAAAAACCAGCAUGUUAUCGAAAUUUCACAAUAUCUGAGUUCAUGGGAACCUUCUUCAGUAAACAACUAGCUAGUAAAUCCUUGAUUGACCACUUUAAGUUAUAGAUAGAUGUGUGGCCCAUGAGGAAAUGUACUUAAAUAGCCAUGCCUUUGGUUCAAAAAGGGUAGAAUGUGUCAUGUAACUUCUGAAAUGGAUUCCUCUUUACUACUAGAGAGUGGCACAAACAAAUAUAGUAUGUUUCUAUUGGGUUUCCUGUACAUGCUAUCUUCAAUAUCUAUCAUGCUUCUGUUGGUUUCCUGUACAUGCUAUCUUCAAUAUCUAUCAUGGGUUGAAGUCUCUUUUUUAAAAAUGUAAUAAUGAAGGCUAUGUAUUCAUUGGAAGAUUCUUAAACACAGAUAGUCUGCUAUAUCUGAAGGACAGUUACAUCUUUUUAGCUGCAAAUUGUUAUUCCAUCCAUUAAUUGUUUGUGAGGCGAAUAUUAGCUCGGUCACUAACUUUAAGAAUAUGAGUUAUCUUAUAGUUUCAUAGUGUUGAAAAUAGAUAACUUAUCAAUCUACAUGAUUGGGCAAAACAAUGUGAUCUGAUGCCACCUUGAGCCAACCGACAGGGUUUUCACUAAUUAUAUUACUGCAAUUUUUUUUUAUUUCUAAUAUAUUUCAAUAGUGUAGAUUAUAAUUAACAAUGUAGAUUUUCAUUUGAAAUAAUUAGCAUACUGUCAUUUGAUUUCUAUUAAGAGCCAAAUAUUUUCCCUUUCUCUCUAUCUAUUUAUCUAUCUAUCUCUCUCUCUCUGCGUGCGCUCCCACCCUUUUUUUUGAAAGAGCAAAAAAAACAAAUUGCCUAUCAAGAAAAUGGGCAGAUCUUAGGUUUUCAUGUCUUAUACUUAAAUACACAAGCAAAUAACUGAAGUAUUAUGUCUGCUAUAUACAAAGACCAUAGUCUUCAUAUUUAAAAUACAAACUGUUGCUGGNNNNNNNNNNNNNNNNNNNNNNNNNNNNNNNNNNNNNNNNNNNNNNNNNNNNNNNNNNNNCGGGCGGCGGUGCGCCGGCUGGCUGCGUCCUCCGCCGCGGGGGGUGUGCAAGUCCUGCAAGGAAAACCGGUGGCCGGGCUCCCCGGCGCCGGCCCUCCGAUGCCUAAGUCAGAGGGGGGCUUAACUUUGAAGAAGAGAGAGGGAUUGUAUGUGGAAGUCCGAAAUAAUCCCCUUGGGAGGAAGAGGCUUCUCCUCUCUUAGAGGGAGAAGCUCCCCUUUUAUAGGGAGAGUGGCCGGAUUACCUGUGAUGUGACUGGGCGAAUUAAUGGAUUACCGUCACUGUCAGGGAGCUGUCACGAUUGAUCGGACCCGUUGGGGUGGUUGAACCGCCAGCCGUGGUGGGCCUGGGGUCCGUAGAUGACAAGUGCAUUGAUUGCUGAGUGAACCGGUGGUCAGAAAGAGCCAUACGCUUUGAUGGUUCAGUAAUCCGGAGAUCAUCUUGAGCCGUGUUCAUUUAAUGACUGAGUGCAUUGGAGGCCUGAGGGNNNNNNNNNNNNNNNNNNNNNNNNNNNNNNNNNNNNNNNNNNNNNNNNNNNNNNNNNNNNNNNNNNNNNNNNNNNNNNNNNNNNNNNNNNNNNNNNNNNNNNNNNNNNNNNNNNNNNNNNNNNNNNNNNNNNNNNNNNNNNNNNCUAAGGCAUGGGCUCGGCGGGGCUGCCUUUCUGGUCGGCGCUCUCUGGUCUCGGCCUUCUGUGCUCGACAGCCUUUUGUGCUCGGCAGCCUGCUGUGAUCGGCGGCCUGCUGUGCUCGGCUCGCUGUGCUCGGCUCGCUGUGCUCGGCAGCCUGCUGUGCUCGGCUCGCUGUGCUCGGCAGCCUGCCGUGCUCGGCUCGCUGUGCUCGGCUCGCUGUGCUCGGCUCGGCCUAUGAGCUCGAUCACUUAGAAGAGCCCGAUCACUUGAUGAGCUUCGAAAGCCGAAGAGCCCGAUCACUUGGAUGAGCUCGAUCUUGCUGACGGAUUUGGGUGCUAUAAUUGCAUUUGUGGGGUGGUCCAUUUUACCACCAACACUACCCCCCGACUCCCGAGUUCGAGCUGCUUUUUGGCUCGGACGAAGGAAGUAGUCCAGUCGUCGAUCAUCCUGUAAUAUAGCCAAAUAUAUAUAAAGAUGUACGUGCCAAGUAGGGUGUACCUUUCAUGCAGUUGGAGUUAAGUGCUCCAGGUUGACUCAGCGGCCUUCUUUGGCUUGUCGUAGGAGGCGUCGAAUGGCGUUGAAAGGCGUCGAAUGGCGUUGAAUGUCGUCGAAUGGCGUCGAAGUGCCGUCGAAUGGCGUCGAAGUGUCGUCGAAUGGCGUCGAAUGGCGUCGAAUCGGCGUCGAAUGGCGUCGUAUGGCGUCGAAUGUCGUCGAAUGUCGUCGAAUGUCGCCGAAUGGCGUCGAAUGUCGUCGAAUGUCGUCGAAUGGCGUCGAAUGGCGUCGAAUCGGCGUCGAAUGGCGUCGAAUCGGCGUCGAAUGGCGUCGAAUGGCGUCGAAUCGGCGUCGAUCGGCGUCGAAUGGCGUCGAAUGUCGUCGAAUCGGCGUCCCGAGCUUAGCUAGAGCAUCAUUGGANNNNNNNNNNNNNNNNNNNNNNNNNNNNNNNNNNNNNNNNNNNNNNNNNNNNNNNNNNNNNNNNNNNNNNNNNNNNNNNNNNNNNNNNNNNNNNNNNNNNNNNNNNNNNNNNNNNNNNNNNNNNNNNNNNNNNNNNNNNNNNNNNNNNNNNNNNNNNNNNNNNNNNNNNNNNNNNNNNNNNNNNNNNNNNNNNNNNNNNNNNNNNNNNNNNNNNNNNNNNNNNNNNNNNNNNNNNNNNNNNNNNNNNNNNNNNNNNNNNNNNNNNNNNNNNNNNNNNNNNNNNNNNNNNNNNNNNNNNNNNNNNNNNNNNNNNNNNNNNNNNNNNNNNNNNNNNNNNNNNNNNNNNNNNNNNNNNNNNNNNNNNNNNNNNNNNNNNNNNNNNNNNNNNNNNNNNNNNNNNNNNNNNNNNNNNNNNNNNNNNNNNNNNNNNNNNNNNNNNNNNNNNNNNNNNNNNNNNNNNNNNNNNNNNNNNNNNNNNNNNNNNNNNNNNNNNNNNNNNNNNNNNNNNNNNNNNNNNNNNNNNNNNNNNNNNNNNNNNNNNNNNNNNNNNNNNNNNNNNNNNNNNNNNNNNNNNNNUCGCUGUGCUCGGCUCACUGUGCUCGGCUCGCUGUGCUCGGCAGCCUGCUGUGCUCGGCUCGCUGUGCUCGGCAGCCUGCUGUGCUCGGCUCGGCCUAUGAGCUCGAUCACUUAGAAGAGCCCGAUCACUUGAUGAGCUUCGAAAGCCGAAGAGCCCGAUCACUUGGAUGAGCUCGAUCUUGCUGACGGAUUUGGGUGCUAUAAUUGCAUUUGUGGGGUGGUCCAUUUUACCACCAACACAAACAUAAAUGAUUGAAGCAUGAGAUCCACCAUCCAUAAAGACUACAAUAUUUAUAAAAUGAAAAUAAAUAAUUGAAAUAUGUGAUCAAUUGUACCGUGGCCUUCAUAUUUAAAUACAAGAGCGAAUAAUUAAAGUAUGAGUUCCAACAUAUAUAAAGACCAGAUUAUUCUAGGGAAAGUAUAUGGAUGCUAUCUUCUACUUGAUGAAGUAGCAGGUGCAUUAGGUGUUCAAUAACUUGAGCAAACAAAAACAACAAACCUGAGAAUUCUAGAACUUAAUGAAGUAAAAGUAAAAUGCUAUAAUGGGCAACCUAGGUAGAAGAAAACUCCAUUACCAUAUGUCAUAUAGAGGUUUGGUAUUUUGAUACGACCUACACCUUAUAUGUGUUGCACUACACGGUGCAUUCUAUUAUACGUACUGCUUUUGUAAAUUACACUGAUCCUCACAUACUAUACGGCACGUAAACUUUUUAAUACUAUUGUCUGGGCAGGUAGAAUUAUUCAAAACAGAAUUCUAAUUACAAACCAUAGUCAUGAGAUUAUAUAUUGAUAUUAUUUUUAGUGCCAGGGCGGAGUUUGUGUGGAGAAACCCUUGCCCCGAAGAUAAUCAGUAAACCAUCAUCAUAUCUCACCAUCAAUGUGACUUUGCUCAAUGCUGAGCUAACAUUAUUUCAAAUGAAUAACGUUAAAAAAUUAAGAUUGGUCUUUUUUUUUUUUUUUGUUAUAACGGCGGCUCACACGUAAUGGGUGUGAAUGCGGCCAACAAAAUCAAAAAACAGUAGCUCAUUGAAAGGGUUCGGCAAAGAUCCUUGGGUUUCCUAUAUAAAGCCCGCUGAAUGGUGGGCAGCAAAUAACGCAACCUAGUCAGCCGCGCCAUUCGUCUUCCUGUACACAUACGUGGCCGUGAAAGAGCCACACUCCUCUAGUAGUCUGCAAAUAUCGUGAGCAACGGUCGUUCCUUCGCAGCCCCUCCCCGACCCUGGAUUCAUUAGAUCACCAUGACCGAGUCACUCUCAAGGAGGAGACAAUCUGCACCCAAGACGUGCCUCACGAAGAUAAUGCCCUUCCAAGCAGCUCUGAGCUUAACACAGGCGGCAGACGUGUCAAAGAUGCACUGGCCCCUAGCCACCAUCAGUUUGGCCCUAUGGUCUCUGAUGAUGAAGCCUGCGCCGCCACAGCUUCCACUGUCACCAACGCUACCAUCAAAGUUCAUCUUGAGAUAACCAAAAAGAUAAAAUUAGCAUUCAAAAGUUUUUUAUUCAUAAGGCAUUAGUGUUGAAACAAUUGAGUUACUGAGUUACAAGGAGACUGUCAAGUAGACACCCUGAUCCUUCAUCCCUUAAGCACACGCUAAAUCUGUUCUCACACAAUUAUUUGUUUAAUGUUACUUUAAUAUCAUAAAAAUGCUAAAAGUCAUCCGUUUUGUUCCCCAAGUCUAGUCACUAAUUAACCUGAUCCUCAAUCUCACAUAAAACCAGUGAUCGGUUGGUGAUUGUAUAGAUGAUAUGUGGAACAGUGGAAACAAUUUUUUUUUUUUCAUGUGUGUGUAGUUUCUUUAGAGCGCAGUAAUGAUUAUUUUUCAUGCGUUCACUGUGAAGCCAUCAUACUCUCCUCUCUAAUUACAAGCACACAUUACCCACAACUUGAUAUCUUGGUUUCCAAACUAAUCCACUGCACCCUCAUCUAAAGCAUGACUUUCUCUACCUGCAUCUGUGUGACAACUAAUAAGCUGUAGAAUCCAACCAAAAAAAAAUUGGUUCGUAAGAGGAAGAGAAAAUAUAUGAUCAACAAAAAAAUAAAAAAUAUAUAUAUUUAAUUGAAGUUUCUAAAUAAAAAAUAAAAAUAGUUUUUUUAUAAAAAUAAAAUUUUUAUAUUUUAUAAAAAGAAAAAAAAUCAUAGAACAUUGAAAAAUUAAAUUUUUACUAGUUAGUAAUUAAAAUAAUUUUUUAAAAAAUAUUUUUAAGUUUUUAGAUAAAAUGAUGUAAGAUUUUUCUCUUUAUUAAAAAUAUAAUAGGUAUUUCAUAUAAUUUUAUAGAAAAGUAGGUGCUUAACCAAUUAAUGUAAACUAUUAUACUAUAUUUUUAUGAUCAAUAAAAUAGGUGAAAACUAUUUUUUUAAAUAUUAUAUAUUUGAAUACCAAUUUUUUCAAAAAAAUAUUCAAGUGAUAGAGAAUUCUUCAAAUGAGUCAUAACGAGCAUUUAUGCUAAAGCGUGAUCCACUAGCUUCAAGAAUUAUUUAAGCUAUUGUACCUUUUUUUUAUGAUCAAUAAAAUAGAUAAAAACUAUUUUUUAAAAAUAUUAUAUACUCAGAUACUAAAUUUUUUGAUAAAAAUAUUCUAAUGACACAGAAUUCUUCAAACGAAUCCUAACAAGCAUAUAUGCUAAGCGGGAACACCACUGCCGCUUUAAAGAAAGCAACCGAACCGCCAAUAAAGCUGGGCACGUGGCAAGUAGAGAAUCACUUCGUUUGGCACGUGUCGAUCGAUCUAAGCCCUAUUCCCAUCCACCGGUCGCUUUGAAAUGCGCACGGCAGAUUCGCAUGGUGGAAGGCGAAGGCAACCCCGAACCGGCGAUCGCUGCCGCUUAACGUGACACCGAUGGCGAAAUGAAAGCAGAUGUGCCGGCCACCAAGAUAGUAGCUUAAUGGUACUGGACGGAAUUUUUAUCCUCAUUGUCCCAAAUUUAAGUCGCUGCGGCGUUGAUUAAAAUAUGGCUUCGGCCACUACUUGAUAUGAGGCAUAAGAAUGCUUAUUGGACUUCUAGUAGUCGGGAUGGUGCCGGAUGUAACAUACUCAUAUGUGGGACUUGAGCCAGAGCCCAGAGGGAUAGCUGAGCCGGGCCCAUGGAUAGGGAGGAUAUGAAUAAAAUCAAUCGGGGUGUUCAACACACGGCCAUUUCUGCCCGCAUCGAACAUUGGAAGCUAGAAGCUGCUACGCGGGGGUGGGCUUGUUCCUUCCUCCCGCUUUUCCUAAGCAAAAAAAAAGAAAAAAAAAAAAAGAAAAAGAAAAGAAGCAGACGUGUCGGCGGAUGCGACGCGAUUCCCUCGCAGAAGGAAAGCAAAAGCCAUUCUCGAAUGAUGCUUGCCGUACCCACUUCCCUCCUUCUUUCCCUUUUAUUACCCGGCUACCUCCACUGCUUUCUUCGGUGCUUUCUCUCUAAUGUCGUCCUCAUCGUCGGCUUCCGAUGGUACGUUCCUUUAUUCAUUUUUUUUUUCCAGCCAAAUCGAUCUCAGUACUGGCUUCUUUUUCUUGAUAACAAUUCCGUUUAGUAGUUCGGGUUUCUCGUGAUUAGAUUUAGCGAAUGAAGGAGAGGAGGGGGAGAUAAACAGUGGCGACCUGACUGCGCUUCAGAAGCACGUCGCCUUCUUUGACCGGAACAAGGACGGCGUCAUCUAUCCCUGGGAGACCUUCCAAGGUCUCGUCUCUUAUCUCCUAUCUUUUUGUUAUUAUAUGCUUCUCGUUCUUUUAAUUAAUAUGUGCGUCUUUGUUUAUUUUGAUUUGUUAGGGUUUCGUGCGAUCGGGUGCGGCGUUGCCUUAUCCACCGUGAGCGCCGUCCUAAUUAACGGCUUCAUCGGCCCCAAAACUCGCCCUGUAUGUUCCGUGUUUAGUUCUUCGUUUUCGCAAUUUUUCCCACUCGCUUUUCUUCGUCUUAACGGUGUUAGAUACUUUAUGGAUGUCGUCACCAGCGGUGAUUGGUUUUGUCUUUACCGCUUCACUCACCAUUGCUGAGGACGACUGUGUUAAGGAUCCCUUUGAUUUGAUGCCUCUGGGCUCAUGUAAACAGCACUGAUCAUGAAUCAAAAACCAAAUAGGGAAAAAAAAAGGGUUGCCAUCAAGGUGGUAGCACAGACGGAGCAGGGCUUUGUUUCCACCGGGCUGGUCCAGGUUCGAAAUGCGUGGAUGUCGAUUAAAUUUGGAGACCGAAUGGCCCAUGCCUGGAUGCUUUCGGUGGAAGCGCUACUGGUUCACUGGUACCGAGGUGGUGCUGGGGUGAUGUACUCACACGUGGGUGAAGAACCUAGUGUGAAAAACUCACAGGUCGGGGAAGGUAUGCGGAAACUUGCGGCCUGCAUCGCAUAUUUCCUGGAGGGGGGCCCAGUGGGGGCUGCUACGCGGGUGAGAUUCUCCUCCCACCCCCCCCCCCCCCCCUCCCUAUUUUCACAAAAAAAAAGGGCCAAUGAUGACCCAAGGUCUUAGGCGGGUUAAUUCGGUCUUGCAUGGGCAACACUAAACUAUAAUUUGGCCAUAAAUAAACUUUAGAAUAUGUGAUGCACAGCCAAUCCUCCUGUCUGCAAAAUCAGAUGGGUUUUAUGAGAAUCCUGCAUAUUGGAGUAUAUAAUAAGCAAGAUUUGUUUGGUGUUAGUUUUAUGAAUUUUCCCUUGACUACAAGUGCUCAUUUAGAUGAAAUUUAUAUCUAAAUAUUGGAAUUAGCCUUUAGAAGCUGAAUUUUUUGGUUUGGGUCAAGUCAGCUUUUUUUGAUCUAUGUACUGCAGAAUGAUCAAGGUUUGAAAAAGAUUGAAUGAAAAAUCUUGGGUUUUAAUGUGUCAGAAGGUACUAAGGAAUGUGGGUUCGCAGAAUUUAAAUUAAAAGUGAGCUUACAAUUAAGGAUUAUGUUAUGGGUCGAUUAUACUGUAAUUUAGUGUUCUAAUAAAGCUUCAUGUUGGUUUGCUUGGGCUAGAUUAAGUUUCACUCAAAUAUGGUUUCUUGUAAAUCGCAUGCAAACAAUCCAUCACAACCCUUUAUUAUCUUAAGUUAUUUUUGUUUCUUCCUAUAUCAGGAUGAGAGCUUUGGUCCUCAAGAUUGUCGGCAAGUGCAAUGCUAGGGGAUCUUGAGAGUGUGAGGCAUUAAAUUAUAGGGAUAGGAUUUUCGUGAUUUUUUUUUGUAUUUAUAGUGGGAAAAUCACUGUCGUAAAGAGAGCAUUUUAAUUAGUGCGCCUUUCCUAACCAAAUCUUUGUCCUACAUCUCUCUUUCUUUUAUUUCCUUCCAUUUUUUUACUUUUCAUAUCACUAGCUAUUCCCAAUAUUAUUUUCCCUCCUCUAUCGCAAAAAGUGAAUAGAAAAAUAUUUUUUUGAGAAUAACAGGGAAAAGUUACUUGAAGUCAUGGUUAGCAUUUAGACAUGUCUAAUUAAUAUUAUCUAAAUAAAAGAAGGAGAAAGAACAAUGAGAGCUUUAAUAACAGUAUAAGCAGACCUACAUGGUAGAUAAAAAGAAGUAAAUAGUGGCUGUGGAGGAUUGUGGUGAAGGCAAAUAUAAGUAAAAGGUGGAAGAAGAAGAAGAAGAAAAAGCACAUGCCGCCACUUAAUUUUUUGAAAAGAGAUCACAACCUUUUGUUUCCAUCUUGCUUCAACAACCACCUAUUCAGGAUUUUUUUUUAAAAAAAAUCUUUCGAGGAUAUACUUUAAAUUGGGUUCUUCAUCUAAUGUCUUUCAUUGAAUGAAGAUUACAAGUUAACCCUUUGCUCUUAGUUGAAAAAAAUAAUAAAUUAAAGCCUAUACAGGUUUUUCUAUAAAUCUCCACAAUGGCCUGAAUUUUGUUUUCCAUCUUGGUAAUCGUCUAUAUCUUCAAUCAAUGCACCAUCUAUGGCAUCCCAUAUAUUUUAUGCUUGAAAAUGAAUCCAUUUUUAGAGUAAUUAAUUACAUGAAAAGGACAAAUGCAGUUUCCAUGAACAAAUUAACUAUAAAUGCUCCUCCUUUGUUUUCUGGUAAGUAAUAGAAUCACCUACAUUGAGCAAUUUUUUUUUUUCACUUAAGACUUUCUUGGGGGAUAGUGAAAAUAUUGUAAAACAUAAAUGUAAUUAUGUCUUUACACCCUUCUAAAAGGGUCUUUGUAAAAAUAUUUAUCUUUUGAACGUUUGGAUUGCCUUUUCUAAACGAUCUUCACAGUAUUAAAAUAUUGAGUCUUAUGAUGAUAAUUUACAAAACUAUUGAUGAUUUUUGGUGAUACCAAAAUAUUCUCCAUUACAUGCUAUCAAUGUUGGAUAUGUAUGAUAUAGUGGUACUUGUUGGAGCUUCUGCGAGAUGUUUCAGAUAUUUAUUUUAAGUAUCCUAUGUCUCAAAAUUUAAAAAUGGCUUCAGAUACUUCUUGGCUAUGCCUGAGCUACUUCUUUGUUAUAAGAAUAAAUAGCUAAACCAACGAGUAAGAAUUGCAUUCUGUCCCAAAUAUAGAUAAGGUUCUCCCAUAUGGUCAAGCAUAGGUUUGAAAUGGGAAAUCAUGGUAUAACCCCAUGCUAGCACUUAUUGACACAUUUUGGUAUGCAUGCUUAUGCACAACUAUGGAUGGAUAUGCAUCCAUAUGGGCUAACACAGAUGGUAUCAGCAUAUGCUCCUCUAUACUGUGUUGACGACUUGUGGGAACAGCAUAUAGCUAGAUACGAUAGGAUAGGUAGGUGAAUUAGGUCUUGCUUAUGAUUCUAUUAGAUCCCUUCAGGCAAGUUUAGAGGAGGAACUAAGUUAAGAUUAGGACCAAUUGAUCAUAAAAUGAAGAGAAAUAAGAUUAGUCAUCAAUUUACUUAUAAUGUAGAUAAGAGCAAGAAGAGAAAGGGAAGAGGACAGAGUGAGUGAGAUGGCUAAGAUGGUGAGGAGAUGACAUGGGGAGAGAAUAAAAUUAUUUUUUUUAUUAAUAAUGUACUCACAAACUAUAAGUUAGGAUUCUUGUUAAGUCAUUCAUGUGAAGUUACAAACUAUUUUAUAACAAAAUCCUAUUAACUUUAGGGCUUGUUAACCUAAUUUAGAGCCAAAAUAUGGCUUUCUACUCUAAAAAAUGCUUGGUUUAUGACAUGACUCAAGAAAAAAUUUCCUAUGUGAAAAAAUUACUAAACCUACUUCAACUAGUGUUAUUAGUUUAAGGAUUUAUAUGAACUAUGGCCCUUUUUUACCUUUCUAAUCUUUAAAUUUAUAAAACUUUUAGAUAUUCAUAGAAUGAAGAGGAAAUUAAACUGAAAUUCUGAUUUCUAAAUCUUUAUCUUACAUUUAAUGAUGGAAAAAAAGCAAACUUUUAGAGUUUGUGAAGAACAUAUAUAUGCAUAUGAUCAGUUGCUUUCUCAUUUCAUUUCAUUUCAUGAGGGUCAUCUUUCAAACACAAAUAGUUACUUCGUAAUUCCUUUUUAAAUUAAUAGUUACUUUCCAUAUGGAUCUACUGGAAAUUUGUAAAGCUUAAUCUGCAGCAUAUUUGGAUGCCUUGUUACACCUUUUAAUAUGUCUUUUUGUUGACAUAUGUAUAGGGAAAAGUACCUUCACCCCUUCUCCCUAUCUAUGUAAAGAACAUUCAUAAAGGCAAACAUGGAAGUGAUUCGGGCGUCUAUGACAGUGAGGGGAGGUAAGCAUCAUACUUAUCAUUUAUUUCUAUAAUUACUGCAUUGUCAGAUUGUUCACAAAAUUUACUUGGAUAUUUUAGAGUUGUAGUAAUCAUUGACUAAUCAUUGACAUUUUGUCUGUGAUAUUUGAGAAACAAACUGAUUCCAACAAGAAUUUGGUAAUCUCUACAGAAAAUGCAAGAUAUUUUGUAUACAUACUAAAUAUGAAAUUAAAAAUUUGAUAUAACUAAAUUUCCCUAUACAUAUAUGUUUACAUUUUGAGCUAACUCUUCAGCUUGAGACAAAAUCAAGCGAAAAAGUAAAUGAAUAGCUUCAUUUGAGACUUCCAAGAAAAUCUCUAGAAACAGGGACUUUGAAACAUGACUAUUAAGGGUAUGUCUUCAUAGAGGAUGUUUUAUAUUCAAUUUUUCUUUGAAGUAGGUGCACAUGUAGGAAGAGAAUAUUUGCAAGUAUUUUUAUAACUUAUGCUAGUCUUAGUGCCCUUCUUACUGUCUGACCCUUCCUUCUUUUUGACUUGACUGGUUAUGUGGACAAAUAGGCAUCCCUUAAAUCCAGUGCUAUUGACUGUUGCAGUUGCAAACACAAGGCAAUGGUAGUGCAAUCAAAGAAUAAAAAGAAAAUACAAUACAUGGACAAGUCUUGACAAUUAUGAUGCUUAUAUAUGAACAAGAAUUUUAGAUGGUUCACCUGAAAGUUGAAGCUUCCUUGCGAUCUUUAACCCCUUGAAGAGAGCAGGCCUCACCUUCAGCAUGGGUAUGCCUUCUUUUGGCGAACAAGAAAAAAGUGACCACCAUUAGAGAAGACCUGUUGAAGAUCUUCAAUAAAAUGCUCUUAAGAGAACCCCACAUUUUCUUCUCCAUAAUUCUAGUUUUCUUUUGUUAGCCUCCUUACCAAUCUCUUUUUCUCAAGAGUUGACUCUUCUUCAUUAUUCCUUUGUCCUCUAUACGAUUCCCAAUAAGAUCUAAAUAGAACUGUCUUAGUUGUCUAAUUGAUAUUUUAAGUGGCCUCUAUUAUAUAGGUUGUCAACUAAACUGUCAACAGUUAGCGGCGAUGAUGACUGUAUAUGGUGAUUGCACAACUUGAGGAUAAGAAAAUGAAUAUUUUGUAGUGUAUCUGAAUGGGUUUUAAUUAUGUUCAGUCAAUCAGUGGUGAUUACGGGCAUGCCUAGUGAGCAUUGAGGAAGAGGAAGAAGCUACUAUUUUCCUAUGUGAAGUGCUAGACUCAUAAGAUUCUCUUAUGUUUAUAUUUUAUCUCUCAGCAUGUACGGCUUGUAUUCCACUGUGCCAUUAUUACUCAUUGAAAUAUUCCAUUAUAGCCCAAAAAUAGCAUAACUUAAACAACAGCAAAGUGGGAAAUAAAGCAAGCAUAAGAUGCCAAAUAUAUAUGCUUUGGCAAAUUUGCUUGUCUAUUGGCACAACCCACUCUUCGCUAAUGGAGCGAGAAAAUAUAACUAUAGAGAGACAUUUUUUGAUGCAGUGCGGCAACAACAAAGAAAUCUAGUGUAUGAGAAAAUGCCUCUUACUAAGUACAAGAAAGUUAGAUGAUAAGAAGAAAGUUAGAUGCCUCUCACACCCCUUCUCUCAGUAAUGUUCUACUCAUCUAAGCAGCCCUCUUUAUUUUUCUCUUUUUCUUAGUUUGAAGGCUAACAUAAUAGUUAAAGCUUUAUGAAGGUGUCUCCUCAUCAGGUCAGAAAAAUAUCCCUUGCAAAACAUCCCGCGAUGCUCCAUUUGUCCAGCAGGUCGAAUAUUACAAUGCUUGGUUGAGAUCUCGGGUAGAGAACUUAAUAAUUCAAACCUUUUCUUCUUUUUUUCUGUGAGAAUAAUGGUGUGUAUGCAAGUAUGCAACUAUUUGGAGUUGCACUAUGCCGCUGUCUUGACUCGAACUCAGAAGCUCUCCCUUGAGGAGUGGGGAGCCAACAGGUUCAGAUAAGUAAUGUUGGCAAAUUAUAUGGUUGGUUUAUUUAGUAAAUCUAUAGCUUGUUUUUUUGACCUACCUUAAUGCACAUCAACUGUUGCAGGAAUUGCCUGCACAUCUAAUUUGUCAUGAAGUUUCUUUAUUCCUCUUGCUGGAUAUGUUAAAAAUGGGUAUUUACAUUUUUCUUUGAAAAAAAAUCAGAUUGUUAAUUUGACUUGAUCUAUGUAAAUAUCAGGUUUGUUCCAGAAAAAUUUGAGCAGAUAUUUAAGAAGCAUGCUCGAACUAAUCCUAACGCACUGACAUCGAAAGAGUUGAAGGAGAUGCUUCAGACGAAUCGAACUCCUAAGGACUGCAUGGGGCGGUAGGUUAUGAGUUUGGAAACGUUAUGAUAAAUAAAUGCUUAGGAUUGCUAGGUGAAUCAUAGGUAAAUAUUCGUCAUUCUCAGUGGUCCAGUGAGCAUACUCACCUUGGGACUUAUUUGUAGGAUUGCUAGCUGGACAGAAUGGAAGAUCUUAUUCACUCUCUGCAAGGAUAAAGAUGGAUUGCUUCACAAGGAUACCACAAGAGCUGUUUAUGAUGGAAGCUUAUUUCUUGAGAUGGAGAAGGCGAGAGAGUCUUCUCAAAACAAAGCAUGAUGGUCGACAACCGGAAGAAUGGAUGGUGUGGCAGUUUGACUUACACGCAAUUUGAUAAAGCUUCUUUUGUGUCCCUUCAAAAAGAUAAGCUUGUUGUGUGAAGUAUAUUUCAGAAUGUUGAUUGAUUACUAGUUUGCCUUGUGAAUCUGUAUAUUCCAAUUCUGUCAAAAUCUUUUCCCUCUUGAUCGAAUAUAAACAUCCAUUAAGGAGCUCUAGUUCCAAUAUGUGACAUGGCAUGUUGGAAUCCUAAAAAGUUUUUUUUACCUGAGAUCAAGGCAGUUUGAGCCUCCUCUAUGUCAAACCCAACAAUGCUUAUAUUGCUUUCGGGAUAUUAGUGCCCAACUAAGAGAAGCACUGAGAGAUGGAAAAAUAGCAUUGCUGUAGGAAUAAAAUUUUUAUAUUUUAUGAAAAAAAAAUUAUGGGGAUGUAAGAAAGCUACUUUCCUAUCAGAAAAUUGGGGUUCUUUAUUUUUCGGAAAGUAUCCUUAAGCCAUUAUAAUCUAUAGGUAAGGACUUUUGAUUUAUCAUGAAAAUAAGAGGUAUUUCAUAUAAUUUUAUCAAAAAAUAGAUGCUCAAUCAAACAUAAAAUUAUAUGCUACUCUCUAAUAAUCAAUCAAACAUGUCAAAAUUAUUUUCUCAGGCAUCAUAUUUUUAUAAAUCAUUUUUUUAGGAAAAAAACAUUUCGGCGAGAAAAUUUUUUUUUUGUGAGCCAAACGAGUCCAAAGAUUUUUCAACAACUAUGUCAUUGAAGAAAAAUAAAUGAAAAUGGAAAAGAGCAGGAUAGAGACAGGGAUUGCCCAAUAAGGCAGUGGACCUAUUUAGCUUCUCAAAGAAAUUUCAAUUGAUUGCUUAAGCCUACAUUAUACAACUUAUCCAAUUAAUAGCCUUUUCGUGAUUACUAAAAAUUGUGUCGCUAUGUUGGUUAAAGAUGAGCAAAACCUUAUACCAAACGCAAAAGAAAUUUUAUCUAAAUGAGACUUAGUAUAAGUAGACCAUUUAAGUGGCUUAGUUUUAACAAGAAAAUUUAGUAGCCGACAACUUUAGGAGAAGACAAUGGAUCUAGUUCAGGUGUUGAAGUCGGAAGAAGUGCAAAGAGAAUUGCAGCAUGAAGACUAGGUCUCAUUGUUCUUUUACUUUCUAUUUUUGAUUUAAGCUUUUAGAUUUGUCUCAUGAUGACAAUGUAGGAAAGGAAGAUACUAGAGCUUAAAAUAGGUAGCACGAUUAUUUAUCAAUAUGUAAUAUUACCCUUCAAUAAGAAGAAUUCAUCAUUAGGAAUGUAGUUGAUUUGUACAAUUCUCUUCUAACGGGCCUCCUUGGAAAAUAUUUUUGCAAUUUUCUCCUUAGAUCAUACCCUCUAUUCCUAAUUGAUUCAGGGGAAGAUGAAUGGUGGUGGAGAGGUAGGGAGGGAAUUAGGUUCGAAAGGAAGAGGGAAGAUGGUUAAGGAUGAGAAGGGGAAAGAGCGGGGGUUGGGAGGAGCAAUCUCAAACAAGCAAGGAUCUUGAUGAUUGGAAUCUAGAGCUAAUCGGAGGAGCCAGUAUUCAAGCCUCGGAAUUUUUGAGUUGUAGCUCAACCAAACAACUCAAUUUAUUGUGUAAUUUGAGUUGCGAACAUCUAUAUGAACAUAUUGACCUACAACUUAAACUAUAUGUAGCUUUAUAGAACUCUAAUUUAACUAAGUUUUCUGAGUUUUCUCCACUUUUUGACACAGGCCUUUUAUGAUUCAACCCCUACUUUAAGAUGCCUCCCGUUUCUCUCUUUUUUCUCUGAAAAAAAAAGAAAAAAAAGGUUUCUCCUUUUGGGUUACCAUAGUCUACUAGAAUAUCUUCUUUCUAUGCAUGCCUGUUGUCCUCACUACUUUAUGGCUGGGGCUGGAAGUGGGUCUGAUCAGGCUAUGCCCCUAUCCAAACUUGGUCAAAAUAUUUUUUUUCAAGCUUUCGAUCAGACUUAGGCUCAAAAAUUUUUAGAUAAUCUAAGCCCAAGCCUCGCUCGAAUUGUCCAUUUGGGCCAAAAUACAUCUAGCUCGAACUUGAUUGAUGUUUAAUAUUUCAUAAUAUUGCUUUACAAAAAAAUAAGUUAGUUAAAAAUUAGAUUCUCUCCUAUAAUACAAAUAAAUGAUGAAUUAUAUAUUAUUCUCAACUAAACUUAUUUUAACUUAUCCUUUACUUUUUCAUUAUUUUCUUUAAAUAACAACAUAAAAAACAAAUUAAUUUGAACCUAAAUUCGGGCUAUGUUUCAAACCUUAUUUGGGCUCGGGCCGGGUCCCGACCGGGUAAGUGACAUAUCCGAGCUCGGUCCAAAAAAAAUUUAAGCUUAAAUCUGAUUUGAACUCUUUCAGACCGUCCAAAUCCCUUUCCAACCCUAGCCGGGCCUCUCUCGAUAAAACUUGGUCAAGUGCUUGACCGGGAACAACCCAUCGAAUAAUCUAUGUACAAAAAGGUGACUGCACAUUUGAGUCUUCUUGAAAGCCAAGCAACUCCAACUUUGCUCACUUGCCACCUUUUCCACCGUCCCAAAACUUGGAAGAAAAUGCCCAUGCACUAGUUAGCCCUUCUCUACUCGAAUGUUUAAUUUCCCACCACAAUCACUACCUCAUCAUUCCUCUCCUGGUCUCCUUCUCUACAAGUAGCCUCUCCCCUCUUCUCUUCUCCUUCUUCUUCUCCCCCAGACACUAACACACCCUCUUCCACAAAAAAACACAAAGCAAGCAAGCACUCUUUACACCAAUAAGAAAUUAAAGAAUGCCAAAACUGUCUCUUCUCUUCCUUCUCUCCCUCUUCUUCCUCCCUUUUAUCUCCUCUUUAGAUGACUACAACUCCGUCGCCAAAAGAAAAGAUGACUACAACUCCUUCGUGUACGCCGGCUGCUCUCAGAAGUACACCGCCGGCUCGCCUUACCAGGUGAACGUUGAGUCCCUCCUCACCUCCUUGGCCAACGCCGCCGAGUUUUCCACCUACGCCAACUUCACCUCCUCCUCCGCCUCCUCCGCCACCCCUGCCUAUGGCCUCUUCCAGUGCCGCGCCGACCUCCCCAUCUCCAACUGCGACUCCUGCAUCCGCUCCGCCCUCACCCAACUCUCCGCUCUCUGCCCCGGCGCCGCCGGCGCCGCCGUCCAGCUCCGCUCCUGUUUCCUCCGCUACGACAACGACUCCUUCAUUGGCAAGCCUGACAACAGCCUCCUCUACAAACGCUGCGGCGGCGACGCCCCCGGCGGGUACGCCUCCGACGUCCUUGGCAUGCGCGACGCCGCGCUCGGCUCCCUCACGGCGGCGCCGCCAGCCGGUGGGUCGUACCGGGUUGGCGGCGCGGGGUACGUCCAGGCCAUGGCGCAGUGCGUCGGCGACCUCAGCUCCAAGGAGUGCUCCGACUGCGUGGAGUCGGCGGUGGCGCAGCUCAAGGCCGUAUGCGGGCUCGCCGUCGGCGCCGACGUUUACCUCGGCAAGUGCUACCUCCAGUGCUGGUCCAAUGGCGGCUACUCCUCCAGACACGGUCAUGGUACGCGUCUUUCCUGUCACCGGCGGUGGUCGUACCAUCUUCUUUCCUCAUUCUCUUUUCUAUAUCUUUUGGGUUGUGUGUGGAUUUAAAUUAAGGAAUUCUUCUUGCAGCGUCGUGCUAAGAUUAUUAACGAACUAAUACCUGCUUAGGUGUGUACGGUUUGAGGUUUAAUCUUAUCUUUAAUUUGGAUGUAUAAUUUUUGUUUUUUGUUUUUUUUUGUAAUAUGGCCAACUUGACAAGAUGGGUUUAGUGAAUAAUUUGUGGCUCUCUUUGGAAGGGAUGGUUAUUGUUAGGAGGAGACCACUUCGUAAAAGAAUUAUGGGCUUUUAAAUUAAGGAUGAUUAUUGAAUGACUAAAUUUAGAAAUAUUUCUUGUCUAUAAUUAAGUUAUUGGGAAGAAUUUUUUUUUGAUAAAUUAGAUGAUUUAUAUUAACAGAGUAUCAAUGCAUCCGAAUUAAAAAAUAAAAUAUUAAAAAGCUGAGUAGGAAGAUCUGCCACAGAAAUCCAUAAUGUAGAUUUCUUGUGGUUUGUCACAUAAGAUGACAUCCAAUCAGCUGCACUGUUAGUUUCUCUAUAAAUAUAUGCAAUAUUAAUUGAUAGCAAUAAGCUAGAGCUAGAUGUGGACCAUAUUUUGUUUGAUCGAAGACGACUGAGAAGUCAACCUCAAACAAC
rnacentral:lncRNA from 1 species